GUGCUCGCUUAAGCAGCACAUAUACUACAAUAUGAGUGAUACGGAGAAGAUCAGCAUGGCCCCUGCGCAAGGAUGACAUGUGGGUGGGCGAAGCGGGCGGGAUUCUG